GACGAACGCUGGCGGCGUGCCUAAUACAUGCAAGUCGAGCGCAGGAAAUCAUCUGAACCCUUCGGGGGGACGUUGAUGGAAUGAGCGGCGGACGGGUGAGUAACACGUAAAGAACCUGCCCUCAGGUCUGGGAUAACCACGAGAAAUCGGGGCUAAUACCGGAUGGGUCAUCGGACCGCAUGGUCCGAGGAUGAAAGGCGCUUCGGCGUCGCCUGGGGAUGGCUUUGCGGUGCAUUAGCUAGUUGGUGGGGUAAUGGCCCACCAAGGCGACGGUGCAUAGCCGACCUGAGAGGGUGAUCGGCCACACGGGGACUGAGACACGGCCCAGACUCCUACGGGAGGCAGCAGUAGGGAAUCUUCCACAAUGGACGAAAGUCUGAUGGAGCAACGCCGCGUGAACGAUGAAGGCCUUCGGGUCGUAAAGUUCUGUUGUAAGGGAAGAACAAGUGCCGCAGGCAAUGGCGGCACCUUGACGGUACCUUGCGAGAAAGCUCCGGCUAACUCCGUGCCAGCAGCCGCAGUAAAAC
rnacentral:rRNA from 1 species